rnacentral:lncRNA from 1 species
GUUCUUGUAAAAUGUUAUAUUAAAAUAUCUGCCAAAUAUCUGUCCAUGGUUUAUUUCAGAAACUUCCCAGCCGCCUUUGGUUGUGGCGGGAAAAGGAAGCGUAAAACAGCUCACCAGCUCACCCCGCCACCAUUAUUUGUCAAAUAUGUGGAGCUGCAAUUUUGCCUCUUGGAAGGCAACAACAAACAUGCACCAAAGGAUGAAUUCGUCCUCCUACAGGCAGGUCUUGGCAGGAGGACAGUAAACAUCAGUGAAAAUGCCAACCAUGAAGAUAUAAACAGAGCUCUCCAGGAGGAAUACCCCAAAAUGAGGGGACUAAGUGGAGGGUGGCUUUUUAAAAAGUCUGCAGGGGUGGCCAAUGAGCUUUCAGGGCCCCAGGCCACCCCCUAGAAUCGCCACUGUCCAGGAGAGUCUGGAUCUGACACCAUUGCCCCAUGCUUCUGUGGAAUUCCUGAAGAUGCCAAAGCACCCCUGCAUGGCAUGUGGGAGUGAGAUUGCCCUUCCGCUCCUUUCACA